GCGUCGAUAGCUCAGUGGCAGAGCGGUGGGGCGUUUACCCAUGCGGCCCGGGUUCGAUUCCCGGUCGAUGUA